rnacentral:tRNA from 1 species
GGACGAGUAGCUCAGCGGUAGAGCACGCCCUUGAUAAGGGUGAGGUCGCAGGUUCGAGACCGGCCUUGUCCA